AGUCGGAAAAGAGUAUAAUAACCAUCACCACAUGCAUAAUUAAGAAGCGAUCAACAGAUUAUUCAGUCAGUAUAUAUUAGAAUAUAAGCAUGUUGAGGUAAGAAAUGUGAUCGUUUUGGAAAGAAGGGAAAUGUUUAAAGGUGCCUGACUAAAAAGAAACAGUGCAGCUACUAUCAAUCUAAUUUGUGGAUUUUUAAAUUGCACAAAGCAUACUAGAACAUAAAAAAAUCUGUAUGCUCUUCAAACAUAUUUGUUGACAUACUGUAAAAAUCUGCGAUUUCACGAAGAAAACUGUUCCAAUUUACUAUUGUUGCAACAAAAAAGUAACUAUUGUUUAAAAUGUAACUUGUCGUAAAAGUGCAACUUAUAAGUGGAAUCAAAUUGAUAUUGACUUUUUCUGAUUAAAGAAUUGCUGUGAAGAAAAGUUUUAAUAUAAUAGGUAGCAAAUGCAUGCAUUAACUAAACAGUUAACCUAAGCUCCUUAAACAGAUUUUAACAUUGUUGUCCCGCCAACAUAUAUAUUUGGACUAUUGACCGUGUAAUAUGGUCCGGAUAAGUCUAGGACUCAUCGAAUAUUUACUCCAGAUCUUAAGUAUAUUUUAUCCAUUGAAUCUGCGUCUAGUUUUCCAUUUUUUAUUGUUGAUAUUCGAAGCCAAUUUAGACAUUUUACCAUAUGCUCCAUAUCAAUAUUUUCAUGUAAGUGUAAGUGAGUAAUUUACUAAUUAAGAUCACAUUUGUGAGAUAUUUUUUUAAAUGUGUGUCGCACCAUGUGUUUAAAAAAGUUUGUCAUAACUCAAGUCUCAUUGAGAGGGAGAGAGAAAAAAUGAUAGAGCAGCAUCAGUUUACGGAACAAUGCAAAAUGAAGACUUGAUUUAAAUAUUUACAAAAGUUAUUUGCUGAUGGAUUGUUUUGGAAUGGCUUGUUCGAUUUUUGUGUAUUUCAAAUUUACUUUAAGAUUUUGGACUAUACGCAUAUUGAGCAUACAAAUUGACAUUGAGCUCAAAUAGGUGAUUAACAAAAAAAAAAAAAACAAUACUUUGACUUAGCUUUUGAUCAACCUUUGCUGUAAAAAAGUAAAUUUAACCGUAAAAAGUAAACUAUCUCUGUAGAAUAUUUAUCUUUUAAUAGAAUUUUAACGUUUAACCUAUAUUUAUAAUUAAGUUAUUUUUGUAGCUCAAAAUAUUGAAUAUUUGAAGGAAAACUGGAUGCGGAUUCAGACACAUGUUCGUCUGAGACAAAAGACUUUUUUUUAAAUACAAAUAAUCAAUAGCAUGUUCUUAGCUGCGCUUUUCAAGAAACGAACAUAAAUGAUAGAGAGUUUCAGAAGUUGUAUAAAAUGCAUUUUACAUUACCGUCUAUUUCUGCUUUUGAAAUGCAGCGUCAUCAGUGAGACGUUUGAAUUCUGGUUGUUGUUUUUGUACUAGUUUUAUGUACUAGGUUAUUGCAGUGAUCUCACUAAUGACGCCGACACAUCAUCUAUCCGGAAUCCUUCCAAGUGCAUGUGUUCAAGCCUUAUUAAACACCUUCACUAAUAUAUCAAUCAACAGUCUAAUAGCAACAAAAGGUGCGCACAAAUUUACCGCUACAUAACCAGGAACUUAACAAACCAAAUACAAUUGAAAGGAAGGAAAUGAUAACAGUAACACAAACAAUCAAUUAUGAAAUGAUAAAUGUGCAAGCAUGUUAAUAAAUGAUCAUGUUAAAUCGAAACAAAGCAUUGGUUUUUGAUUUCUGGUGAUAAAUAAUCUGAUCAACAUCAGUUACAUCAGCAUAACAAGGACACCACCAGAAUUGUUAUCAACUUUGAAUUUGAAUAUCUGGUAACUUUUGUCACGAAUGAUUUGCCUACGUAAUGUAUUGAUUUAGAAAGGUGUACCAAAGUGACCCACAAUGUACAUUGAUAAAUUCACACACGCUUGGUGCGUAUUUGAAAGGGAGCGUUACGCUAGCCGACCUUACCUUGCGGUUGAUUCUGUCAAUCUGUCUGUUC